rnacentral:rRNA from 1 species
AGUGAACGCUGGCGGUAGGCCUAACACCUGCAAGUCGAACGGCAGCACAGUAAGAGCUUGCUCUUACGGGUGGCGAGUGGCGGACGGGUGAGGAAUACAUCGGAAUCUACUUUUUCGUGGGGGAUAACGUAGGGAAACUUACGCUAAUACCGCAUACGACCUACGGGUGACAGCCGGGGAUCUUCGGACCUUGCGCGAUUGAAUGAGCCGAUGUCGGAUUAGCUAGUUGGCGGGGUAAAGGCCCACCAAGGCGACGGUCCGUAGCUGGUCUGAGAGGCUGAUCAGCCACACUGGAACUGAGGCACGGUCCAGGCUGCUACGGGAGGCAGCAGUGUGGAAUAGUGGACAAUGGGCGCAAGCCUGAUCCAGCCAUACCGCGUGGGUGAAGAAGGCCUUCGGGUUGUAGAGCCCUUUUGUUGGGAAAGAAAAGCAGCAGGUUAAUACCCCGCUGUUCUGACGGUACCCAAAGAAUAAGCACCGGCUAACUUCGUG